UCUUGGAUUCUUUAUGCCUUAACGACCUUCAGUAUAAUAUCUGUUAUUGUAAUCAUGGUUCUGGUUGCAGUUUUAUUUAAAAAUCAUAGAAAAGGUGCUUCAUCACGAAAGCCUGAAAUCAGCAGCAAUCAGGCUGAUGAUGAAGAUGUCUUGAACUAUGCAGCUGUGAGUUUUGCUAAGAAACCUUCAUCCUCCAGAACAUCCAGAGACCAGAGACAUGAAGACGUUUAUGCACAAGUUCAAAUCAAAUAGAUCCAAAGAAAUGAGUUCAGACUUGAAAAUCAAUAGAAAUUGAAUUAUUCCCCAGUUUGUAGACAAACGUGUCAUAUUUUAAUCAGAAAUCAAAAUUUUUAUUGCUGUA